UUUAAUUCGUUGCUACACGAAGUAACCUUACCUGGGUUUGACAUAUAGGUUGUAGGGACUGAAAGGGACCGACCCUUCGGGGAGCCUAUACAGGUGUUGCAUGGCUGUCGUCAGCUCGUGUCGUGAGAUGUUCGGUUAAGUCCGCUAACGAGCGCAACCCUCGUCGUAUGUUAUAUGUGUCAUACGAGACUGCCGGUAAAAAGCCGGAGGAAGGUGAGGAUGAUGUCAAGUCAGCAUGACCUUUAUAUCCAGGGCUACACACACGCUACAAUGGUCUGUACAAUGGGUAGCCAAGCCGCGAGGCGGAGCCAAUCCUGAAAGCAGGCCUCAGUUCAGAUUGCAGUCUGCAACUCGACUGCAUGAAGCCGGAGUUGCUAGUAACCGCAGGUCAGCAAUACUGCGGUGAAUACGUUCCCGGGUCUU
rnacentral:rRNA from 1 species